rnacentral:rRNA from 1 species
GAUGAACGCUGGCGGCGUGCCUAAUACAUGCAAGUCGAGCGAACAGACGAGGAGCUUGCUCCUCUGACGUUAGCGGCGGACGGGUGAGUAACACGUGGAUAACCUACCUAUAUGACUGGGAUAACUUCGGGAAACCGGAGCUAAUACCGGAUAAUAUAUUGAACCGCAUGGUUCAAUAGUGAAAGACGGUUUUGCUGUCACUUAUAGAUGGAUCCGCGCCGCAUUAGCUAGUUGGUAAGGUAACGGCUUACCAAGGCAACGAUGCGUGGCCGACCUGAGAGGGUGAUCGGCCACACUGGAACUGAGACACGGUCCAGACUCCUACGGGAGGCAGCAGUAGGGAAUCUUCCGCAAUGGGCGAAAGCCUGACGGAGCAACGCCGCGUGAGUGAUGAAGGUCUUCGGAUCGUAAAACUCUGUUAUUAGGGAAGAACAAAUGUGUAAGUAACCAUGCACGUCUUGACGGUACCUAAUCAGAAAGCCACGGCUAACUACGUG